rnacentral:rRNA from 1 species
CACGUAGGGUGCGAGCGUUGUCCGGAAUUACUGGGCGUAAAGGGCGCGUAGGCGGCCUUCUAAGUCGAACGUGAAACUCCCCGGGCCUCAACCCGGGAACUGCGUCCGAUACUGGGAGGCUUGAAUCCGGGAGAGGGAUGUGGAAUUCCAGGUGUAGCGGUGAAAUGACGCAGAUAUCAGGAGGAACACCAAUGGCGAAGGCAGAUCUCUGGGCCGUAACUGACGCUGAGGAGCGAAAGCAUGGGGAGCGAACAGG